CCUGUAGCUCAGUUGGAUAGAGCAACGGCCUUCUAAGCCGUGGGUCAGGAGUUCGAAUCUCUUCAGG
rnacentral:tRNA from 2 species